GACAGAGGAUGCAAGCGUUAUCCGGAAUGAUUGGGCGUAAGCGUCUGUAGGUGGCUUUUAAGUCCGCCGUCAAAUCCCAGGGCUCAACCCUGGACAGGCGGUGGAAACUACCAAGCUGGAGUACGGUAGGGGCAGAGGGAAUUCCGGUGGAGCGGUGAAAUGCGUAGAGACCCGGAGGAACACCAGUGGCGAAGGCGGCAUCCUGGUCUGCGACUGACGCUGAGGCGCGAAAGCUAGGGGAGCGAACGGG
rnacentral:rRNA from 1 species